GCUCCAGCUCCCAGUUGGGUCUGGGGAGGACAGCAGCACAGGCGGCCAGCAUGUGGUAGGGCAGAGAGGCGUUGAGGGAGAACACAAAAUAAGAGCCUCCGGUGGUGAUGAACUUUAACUCCCGGAUCACCCUGGAGGCUGUGAAGUCCGGCGUGAACCUGAGAGAGAUGAAGAGACAUAUCAACGUUGGUCAUUGGAGGGAUCUACAACAAACUGGAUUCUAGACCACUCACUGUCUGUGCAGUCCUUCAGUAGAGACUCAGUCAUCUUGAACCUGAGGAACCCCCCUGGUCCCGGGGCCUUGCCCCCUACCUUCAGCCUUUCAUAGCUGCCCUGACCCUGCACCACCAGGAACUCCAUCACCGUCAGGUUGUUCCUGUUGAGACAGAGAGACAUACAGUUAACAAUCAGUAGAACAAUAAACAGCAGUUUAUAUUUUAUUCACACAAAC